ACCCACACUAUCAGUCCCUAAUGGUUCACUAUCACCUCAGGUCCAGACCCACACUAUCAGUCCCUAAUGGUUCACUAUCACCUCAGGUCCAGACCCACACUAUCAGUCCCUAAUGGUUCACUAUUCCCUAUCACCUCAGGUCAAGACCCACACUAUCAGUCCCUAAUGGGUCACUAUUCCCUAUUACCUCAGGUCCAGACCCACACACUAUCAGUCCCUAAUGGGUCACUAUUCCCUAUCACCUCAGGUCCUGACCCACACACUAUCAGUCCCUAAUGGGUCACUAUUCCCCAUCACCUCAGGUCCUGACCCACACUAUCAGUCCCUAAUGGGUCACUAUUCCCCAUCACCUCAGGUCCAGACCCACACACUAUCAGUCCCUAUCACCUCAGGUCAAGACCCACACACUAUCAGUCCCUAAUGGUUCCCUAUCACCUCAGGUCCUGACCCACACUAUCAGUCCCUAAUGGGUCACUAUUCCCUAUCACCUCAGGUCCAGACCCACACUAUCAGUCCCUAAUGGGUCACUAUUCCCUAUCACCUCAGGUCCUGACCCACACUAUCAGUCCCUAAUGGGUCACUAUCACCUCAGGUCAAGACCCACACUAUCAGUCCCUAAUGGUUCCCUAUCACCUCAGGUCCUGACCCACACUAUCAGUCCCUAAUGGGUCACUAUUCCCUAUCACCUCAGGUCCAGACCCACACUAUCAGUCCCUAAUGGGUCACUAUUCCCUAUCACCUCAG